rnacentral:rRNA from 1 species
GCGAAAUCGGGGCCAGCGGGCGGGGUAAGGCGGAGGGGGUGGGGGUAGGCCGGAAUGACGGGGCGGAAAGGGCGCGUGGGGGGCGUCGCAAGUCGGUGGUGAAAGCUCGACGCUUAACGUCGAGGCGGCCAUCGAAACUGCGGGGCUGGAGCACUGUAGGGGCAGAUGGAAUUCCGGGUGUAGCGGUGGAAUGCGUAGAGAUCCGGAAGAACACCGGUGGCGAAGGCGGUCUGCUGGGCAGUUGCUGACACUGAUGCGCGACAGCGUGGGGAGCAAACAGGAUUAGAUACCCUUGUAGUC